rnacentral:rRNA from 1 species
UGGGGAAUAUUGCACAAUGGGGGAAACCCUGAUGCAGCGACGCCGCGUGAGCGAUGAAGGCUUUCGAGUCGUAAAGCUCUGUCCUACGGGAAGAUAAUGACGGUACCAUAGAAGAAAGCCCCGGCUAAUUACGUGCCAGCAGCCGCGGUAAUACGUAAGGGGCGAGCGUUGUCCGGAAUUAUUGGGCGUAAAGAGUGCGUAGGCGGCAAAUUAAGUCAGAUGUGAAAACUAAGGGCUCAACCCAUAGAUUGCAUCUGAAACUGAUAUGCUUGAGUCAAGGAGAGGAAAGUGGAAUUCCUAGGGUAGCAGUGGAAUGCGUAGAUAUUAGGAGGAAUACCGGUGGCGAAGGCGACUUUCUGGGCUUGAACUGACGCUGAGGCACGAAAGCGUGGGGAGCAAACAGG